CCUACGGGUGGCAGCAGUGAGGAAUAUUGGUCAAUGGACGAGAGUCUGAACCAGCCAAGUAGCGUGAAGGAUGACUGCCCUAUGGUUUGUAAACUUCUUUUAUAAAGGAAUAAAACGAGGCACGUGUGCCUUUUUGCAUGUACUUUAUGAAUAAGGAUCGGCUAACUCCGUGCCAUCAGCCGCGGUAAUACGGAGGAUCCGAGCGUUAUCCGGAUUUAUUGGGUUUAAAGGGAGCGUAGAUGGGUUGUUAAGUCAGUUGUGAAAGUUUGCGGCUCAACCGUAAAAUUGCAAUUGAUACUGGCAGUCGUGAGUACAGUUGAGGUAGGCGGAAUGCGGGGUGUAGCGGUGAAAUGCUUAGAUAUGACGAAGAACCCCGAUUGCGAAGGCAGCUUACUAAACUGUGACUGACAUUGAUGCUCGAAAGUGUGGGUAUCAAACAGGAUUAGAUACCCCAGUAGUC
rnacentral:rRNA from 1 species